rnacentral:rRNA from 1 species
AGAGUUUGAUCCUGGCUCAGGAUGAACGCUGGCGGCGUGCCUAACACAUGCAAGUCGAACGAAGCUUGACGGAUGAUUUCUUCGGAAUGAAACCAGAUAUGACUUAGUGGCGGACGGGUGAGUAACACGUGAGCAACCUGCCUUUCAGAGGGGGAUAACGGCUGGAAACGGUCGCUAAUACCGCAUGAUGUGUUUGGAUGGCAUCAUCUGAACAUCAAAGAUUUAUCGCUGAAAGAUGGGCUCGCGUCUGAUUAGAUAGUUGGUGGGGUAACGGCCUACCAAGUCUACGAUCAGUAGCCGGACUGAGAGGUUGAACGGCCACAUUGGGACUGAGAUACGGCCCAGACUCCUACGGGAGGCAGCAGUGGGGAAUAUUGCACAAUGGGCGCAAGCCUGAUGCAGCGACGCCGCGUGCGGGAUGACGGCCUUCGGGUUGUAAACCGCUUUUGACUGGGAGCAAGCCCUUCGGGGUGAGUGUACCUUUCGAAUAAGCACCGGCUAACUACGUGCCAGCAGCCGCGGUAAUACGUAGGGUGCAAGCGUUAUCCGGAAUUAUUGGGCGUAAAGGGCUCGUAGGCGGUUCGUCGCGUCCGGUGUGAAAGUCCAUCGCUUAACGGUGGAUCCGCGCCGGGUACGGGCGGGCUUGAGUGCGGUAGGGGAGACUGGAAUUCCCGGUGUAACGGUGGAAUGUGUAGAUAUCGGGAAGAACACCAAUGGCGAAGGCAGGUCUCUGGGCCGUCACUGACGCUGAGGAGCGAAAGCGUGGGGAGCGAACAGGAUUAGAUACCCUGGUAGUCCACGCCGUAAACGGUGGAUGCUGGAUGUGGGGACCAUUCCACGGUCUCCGUGUCGGAGCCAACGCGUUAAGCAUCCCGCCUGGGGAGUACGGCCGCAAGGCUAAAACUCAAAGAAAUUGACGGGGGCCCGCACAAGCGGCGGAGCAUGCGGAUUAAUUCGAUGCAACGCGAAGAACCUUACCUGGGCUUGACAUGUUCCCGACAGCCGUAGAGAUACGGUUUCCCUUCGGGGCGGGUUCA